CGGAACGGGUGAGUAACGCGUGAGGAACCUGCCUCAAAGAGGGGGACAACAGUUGGAAACGACUGCUAAUACCGCAUAAGCCCACGGCUCGGCAUCGAGCAGAGGGAAAAGGAGUGAUCCGCUUUGAGAUGGCCUCGCGCCCGAUUAGCUAGUUGGUGAGGUAACGGCCCACCAAGGCGACGAUCGGUAGCCGGACUGAGAGGUUGAACGGCCACAUUGGGACUGAGACACGGCCCAG
rnacentral:rRNA from 1 species